rnacentral:rRNA from 1 species
CCUACGGGCGGCAGCAGUGGGGGAUAUUGCACAAUGGGGGGAACCCUGAUGCAGCGACGCCGCGUGGGUGAAGGAGCGUUUCGGCGCGUAAAGCCCUAUCGGCAGGGAAGAAGAUGACGGUACCUGACCACGAAGCCCCGGCUAACUACGUGCCAGCAGCCGCGGUAAUACGUAGGGGGCAAGCGUUAUCCGGAUUUACUGGGUGUAAAGGGGGCGCAGACGGCAAUGCAAGCCAGGAGUGAAAUCCCCGCGCUCAACGUGGGAACUGCCUUUGAACCUGGCAAACGGGAGGGUGUGAGAGGAGAGUGGAAUUCCAGGUGGAGGAGUGAAAUCCGUAGAUAUCUGGAGGAACAUCAGUGGCGAAGGCGACUAUCUGGCACAUAACUGACGCUGAGGAGCGAAAGCGUGGGUAGCAAACAGGAUUAGAUACCCGAGUAGUC